rnacentral:rRNA from 1 species
AACGAACGCUGGCGGCAGGCUUAACACAUGCAAGUCGAACGCAUCGCAAGAUGAGUGGCAGACGGGUGAGUAACGCGUGGGAACAUACCCUUUUCUACGGAAUAGCUCUGGGAAACUGGAAUUAAUACCGUAUACGCCCUACGGGGGAAAGAUUUAUCGGGGAAGGAUUGGCCCGCGUUGGAUUUGCUAGUUGGUGGGGUAAAGGCCUACCAAGGCGACGAUCCAUAGCUGGUCUGAGAGGAUGAUCAGCCACAUUGGGACUGAGACACGGCCCAAACUCCUACGGGAGGCAGCAGUGGGGAAUAUUGGACAAUGGGCGCAAGCCUGAUCCAGCCAUGCCGCGUGAGUGAUGAAGGCCUUAGGGUUGUAAAGCUCUUUCACCGAUGAAGAUAAUGACGGUAGUCGGAGAAGAAGCCCCGGCUAACUUCGUGCCAGCCGCCGCAGUAAAAC